AUCUAUAUAGUUUAAUUAUAAAACAUUACAUUUUCAUUGUAAAAUUAAAGAAAAACCUUUUAUAAAUA
rnacentral:tRNA from 1 species